AACGAACGCUGGCGGCAUGCCUAACACAUGCAAGUCGAACGAGACCUUCGGGUCUAGUGGCGCACGGGUGCGUAAAGCGUGGGAACCUGCCCUUAGGUUCGGAAUAACUCCCCGAAAGGGGUGCUAAAACCGGCUAAUGUCUUCGGACCAAAGAUUUAUCGCCCUUGGGUGGGCCCGCGUUGGUUUAGCUAGUUGGUAGGGUAAAAGCCUACCAAGGCGACGAUCCAUAGCUGGUCUGAGAGGAUGAUCAGCCACACUGGGACUGAGACACGGCCCAGACUCCUACGGGAGGCAGCAGUGGGGAAUAUUGGACAAUGGGCGAAAGCCUGAUCCAGCAAUGCCGCGUGAGUGAUGAAGGCCUUAGGGUUGUAAAGCUCUUUUACCCGGGAUGAUAAUGACAGUACCGGGAGAAUAAGCUCCGGCUAACUCCGUG
rnacentral:rRNA from 1 species